AUCCAAUAAAGGAGUAAUAUCCAGAAUUUACAAAGAGCUCAAACAAAUCAACAAGAAAAAAAAACAAGUAAUCCCGUCAAAAAAUGGGCUAAGGGCAUGAAUACAGAAUUCUCAAACAAAGAUAUACAAAUGGCCAACAAACAUAUGAAAAAAUGCAAAACAAAACCACAAUGCAAUACCACCUCACUCCUGCAAGAACGGCCAUAAUAAAAAAUCAAAAAAUAAUUGAUGUUGACGUGGAUGUGGUGAAAAGGAACAUUUCACACUGCUGGUGGGAAUGUAAACUGGUACAACCACUAUGGAUAACAGUGUGGGGAUUCCUUAGAGGACUAAAAGUAGAACUAUCAUUUGAUCCAGCAAUCCCACAACUGGAUAUCUACCCAAAGGAAAAAGUUAUUAUAUGAAAAGGAUACUUGCACACACAUGUUUAUAGCAGCACAAUUUGCAGUUGCAAAAAUAUAGAACCAGCCCAAAUACCCAUCAAUCAACAAGUAAAUAAAGAAAUUGUGGUAUAUAUACACCAUGGAAUACCACUCAGCCACAAAAAGAAAUGAAAUAAUGGCAUUCGCAGCAACCUGAAUGAAAUUGUAAACCAUUAUUCUAAGUGAAGUAACUCAGUAAUGGAAAACCAAACGUACGUUCUCGCUCAUAGGUGGAGCUAAGGAAUGAGGAUGCAAAGGCGUAAGAAUGAUUCAAUGAACUUUGGGGACUCUGGGGAAAGGAUGCAAAAGACUGAAAGGAGACUUUAGAGAAGAGCUGACAGAAGAGAUUCAUUCUAGGAUCUCUCCAUUCUCACCACACCAUGGACAAGUUCCAUGUGCAACAUUCAGUGUUGGAUGAUCUGGAUUCAGUACAGAAAGCCAAAUAUAACUGCCUGGACUUUUGAGCCUAAACAGGAUCUGAAGCAGAGGGAUGAACAACAGAUCAACCAACAACAAGAAUCAACCAUCUUGGUUUCUCAUUUGUCAAUAAUGGGCAAUAGUCCUGCCCACAUAUCAGGGAAUGU
rnacentral:antisense_RNA from 1 species